CAGCCGCCGCGGGAAUACAGAGGGUGCAAGCGUUAAUCGGAUUUACUGGGCGUAAAGGACGCGUAGGUGGUUAUGUAAGUGAGAUGUGAAAGCCCCGGGCUCAACCUGGGAAUGGCAAUGGAUACUGGCGAGCUAGAGUGUGUCAGAGGAUGGUGGAAUUCCCGGUGUAGCGGUGAAAUGCGUAGAGAUCGGGAGGAACAUCAGUGGCGAAGGCGGCCAUCUGGGACAACACUGACGCUGAGGCACGAAAGCGUGGGGAGCAAACAGGAUUAGAGACCCCCGUAGUCCCUGUCUCUUAUAC
rnacentral:rRNA from 1 species